rnacentral:rRNA from 1 species
AGUGAACGCUGGCGGUAGGCCUAACACAUGCAAGUCGAACGGCAGCACAGUAAGAGCUUGCUCUUACGGGUGGCGAGUGGCGGACGGGUGAGGCAUACAUCGGAAUCUACUUUUUCGUGGGGGAUAACGUAGGGAAACUUACGCUAAUACCGCAUACGACCUACGGGUGAAAUCAGGGGAUCUUCGGACCUUGCGCGAUUGAAUGAGCCGAUGUCGGAUUAGCUAGUUGGCGGGGUAAAGGCCCACCAAGGCGACGAUCCGUAGCUGGUCUGAGAGGAUGAUCAGCCACACUGGAACUGAGACACGGUCCAGACUCCUACGGGAGGCAGCAGUGGGGAAUAUUCGACAAUGGGCGCAAGCCUGAUCCAGCCAUACCGCGUGGGUGAAGAAGGCCUUCGGGUUGUAAAGCCCUGUUGUUGGGAAAGAAAAGCAGCAGGUUAAUACCCCGCUGUUCUGACGGUACCCAAAGAGUAAGCACCGGCUAACUUCGUG